AAUGCAUCGAUGCAUUUCACAAAGUAACCACUUUACAAAUAAUUUAAAAAAUGUAUAGAUACAGUAACCGACGACACACGAAAUCAAUUUAUCUAUUACACACAUCCAAAUAAUGCAUCAUGAUAUACCAACAUUCCAUCCUUGCACCAUAUUGAUAACACAAAUUACAUACUGAUAAGAGAUGUUGAGAUAAACCGUUGGUACUGCACAGAGUGAAGACAUUUUUAAACUUGUAGUAAUAGUAAGGGAGUUGGUUGUAUUGUCACCAUUUUCCACACUAAGCUCCCUCUGUACUGAAGACUUGCAGUUUCAACGCCACAGAUUUACAGUUCUUUGUGUGCUUAUGGUAUCUGAGGAAUACACAGGGCGAGGCAUUGAUCGGUCGUGGUUGUGAUCUUGUUGUGACGGAGGGUCCGUGGUGGGCGGGCGGGCGUGUGGUCCUCUCGUCACAUGGUGGUUCGAGUUCUGAUGUGUCGAGUGGAAGUCAGGAUGUGAUUCGAGGCUAAUUUCUGCGUUGAGGCCAAGCUCUGUUACUUCAGAAUCUCUGACAGCGCAGUGGAUUCCAAUGGAUAACUUGGCUUUUGAACUUCAAGUUGGGGAUGAAUCAGACGGCCUCCCACCCCCUCCCCCGAGCCAACCACCCUCCCUGCCGCCCCCUCCGUGACCAGCCCAGUGGUCGCCUCACCCCGGGCAGUGUCCAGGGUGUAGGGUCGGUCGGUUACAAAAGGAAUACACCAGAACCGGGAUCGCGCUGGCUAUUGCUUGCUUCCCCUGUGGCAUCGCCUGCUGUCGGUCCAUGAGGAAGAGUCGCUGUGAUGGCUGCAAAGCUCUCUUUUAAAAGCACAAGAAUCUGCCUGCCAACUGUGGGAACGUCGAGAGGCUUAGGAUAAAAAUCUGGAAAAUCUGAGUUUAUAUGUUUUCCUAGAUAGUAUUUAAAUUCUCAAUAGACUGAUAAGGUUAUAGAUUAAAAUAGAUUUUGAAAGUGC